CAGCCGCCGCGGUAAUACGAAGGGGGCUAGCGUUGUUCGGAUUUACUGGGCGUAAAGCGCACGUAGGCGGACUUUUAAGUCAGGGGUGAAAUCCCGGGGCUCAACCCCGGAACUGCCUUUGAUACUGGAAGUCUUGAGUAUGGUAGAGGUGAGCGGAAUUCCGAGUGUAGGGGUGAAAUUCGUAGAUAUUCGGAGGAACACCAGUGGCGAAGGCGGCUCACUGGACCAUUACUGACGCUGAGGUGCGAAAGCGUGGGGAGCAAACAGGAUUAGAUACCCGUGUAGUCCCUGUCUCUUAUAC
rnacentral:rRNA from 1 species